rnacentral:tRNA from 1 species
GGGCCUGUAGCUCAGCUUGGAUAGAGCGGCGCCGUCCUAAGGCGAAGGUCGAGGGUUCAAAUCCCUCCAGGCCCG